rnacentral:rRNA from 1 species
AAACCGUUUAGGGGUAAACCUGAAAAACCCGAAAGGUCGAAGGGAGAAAUUCAUUCGCGUUUCGACGUAGGCGUGGAACGGGAUUGAGUGACGGAAAAUUUGUGCUUGCACUAAUUUUUCGCGCCGCCCGUUUCUCGAACCGACGACGAACGCGUGCACUUUUCUCCUGGUAGGACGUCGCGAUCCGUUGGGUGUCGGUCUACGGCUCGCGGUGGAGCCCGUUUGUCAUUAAUUUGCGAACGGACCCGCGUUGAUCCCGGCCGACUCGCUCGACGGUAUAAGAAAGGUUUGAGGCCGCUCGUUUGGAGCGUUCGACUCGCGGCAAGCGCGUCAGAUGUGUUGGCGAUCGGACCUAGUGCCGAUUCUGACCUCUGGUGACUGUUGGCUGCGAAGUUCUCGAACAGACCUCUCGACCGAUCUGCGACGCUAUAGCGUUGGGUACUUUCAGGA